rnacentral:rRNA from 1 species
AUUGAACGCUGGCGGCAGGCCUAACACAUGCAAGUCGAGCGGAUGAAGGGAGCUCGCUCCUGGAUGCAGUUGCCGACGGGCGAGUAAUGCCUAGGAAUCUGCCUGGCAGUUGGGGAUAACGUCCGUAAACGGGCGCUAAUACCGCAUACGAUCUGAGGGAGAAAGUGGGGGAUCUUCGGACCUCACGCUAUCUGAUGAGCCUAGGCUGGAUUAGCUAGUUGGUAAGGUAAAGGCUUACCAAGGCGACGAUCCGUAACUGAUCUGAGAGGAUGAUCAGCCACACUGGAACUGAGACACGGUCCAGACUCCUACGGGAGGCAGCAGUAGGGAAUAUUCGACAAUGGGCGAAAGCCUGAUCCAGCCAUGCCGCGUGUGUGAAGAAGGUCUUCGGAUUGUAAAGCACUUUUAGUAGGGAGGAAGAGAAGUAAGUGUAUACCUUCCUAUUUUGACGGUACCUACAGAGUAAGCACCGGCUAACUUCGUG